rnacentral:lncRNA from 1 species
UGCUAUAAAAAUUUCAGACAUAAAUUUUAAUUAUUCUUAAAGUUAUAGCUAAAAUAAGAGAGCGCGCCGUAGUGUGUAUGAAAGCGUGUGUAUGAAAGCGUCGCUGUCAAAUCUGUUGCUAAUAUUGUGCUUAAAAAGCCAACUCCAAAGAAGCCAGAACUUUACGUAGAGCUCUAAAAGCUGCUGAAAAUGACAACUUUGAGGAAACGGAAGGACUGCUCUAUGCACCAGGCAUAGCUGAUUAAUAUGACUUUGGAAGGCUGUGUGUUUCCCCGAACCAACUCAUCUUUUCUUUGAGGACUCCAUAUUAACGUCAAAAAUUUUAAACAAAUUAAUG